GCCGCCCGCAGGGCCCGGGCUGACCCCCUCCCGCCCCGCGCCUCACCGGGUCCGGAGGGAGGGGGUGCGGCGGCCGCGCUCAGCCAGCUCCCCGGAGUCCGUCCCGCGCGCCCACUCUGGAAGCCGCGGCCCCGCCGUGUUCCCGAGCGCGCGGCGCUGGCUCUGCGGGCGGGAGGGGGCAGCGCGGGGACCGGCCCCCGCCCGGAGGCCGCCCCGCGGGGCGGGGAGGAGGCGGGGCCCGAGGCGGGCCGCCCGGCGCUUCGGAGUCCGGCCGCCGCCCCCCAGCGGCCCGCGGUGCUGCGCGGAGGGAGGAGUUUUCCCACAAGCGGCUGCCGGGAAGCGCCGGGAAGCGCCGGGACCCCGGCUCCAGGCGGUAUAAUGUGUCCACCAGAUGCUGUGAAAACAACGAAGGAUAGGACCUCACCACCAACCCUCGAAGAACUUAUCCUUUAGCCGGGAAGAACACUGUCGUAACGUGGGAGUCUGGGUUUUAAACAAACACACCAGAACAAUUUAGUAUCGAGAGAUGCUGGAACCCCCUGUUUGGCAGUCUUCAGAACACUUUGGUUUAGAGUAAUGUGUUAUCACAUACCUCUGUCUUAUACCUUGUUGGGAGUGUGAAACCAAAGGAGUUUUGGCUUUUCCAAAAAUCAAAUCCAACCUUUUAGGGCUGUUGUCACUUAGCUUUGAACUUCAGUGGUUGUCCAGAUCUUAUCUCCCUCAUCAAACAGAAACUUCCUUGAAGACCGAGUAAAUGUCUGAUUUAUCUCUCACCCUGCACCAGCUUGGUGUCUGUGAUGGAUAAGUACAUGAAAAAUA